rnacentral:tRNA from 1 species
GCGGAUGUGGCGGAAUUGGCAGACGCGCUAGAUUUAGGUUCUAGUGUCUUUAUUGACGUGGGGGUUCAAAUCCCUUCAUCCGCA